GUAGUAGGUGAGCGAUGGGGUGACGCAGGAAGGUAGUCCAGCCCGGGCGGUGGUUGUCCCGGGGUAAGGGUGUAGGACGAACGGUAGGCAAAUCCGCCGUUCACGUAGUCUGAGACCUGAUGCCGAGCCGAUUGUGGUGAAGUGGAUGAUCCUAUGCUGUCGAGAAAAGCCUCUAGCGAGUUUCAUGGCGGCCCGUACCCCAAACCGACUCAGGUGGUCAGGUAGAGAAUACCGAGGCGUUCGGGUGAACUAUGGUUAAGGAACUCGGCAAAAUGCCCCCGUAACUUCGGGAGAAGGGGGGCCAUUCCUGGUGAUGGGUCUUGCACCUUGAGCUGGGGGUGGCCGCAGAGACCAGCGAGAAGCGACUGUUUACUAAAAACACAGGUCCGUGCGAAGCCGUAAGGCGAUGUAUACGGACUGACGCCUGCCCGGUGCUGGAACGUUAAGGGGACCGGUUAGUCGUGAUUCGUCAUGGCGAAGCUGAGAACUUAAGCGCCAGUAAACGGCGGUGGUAACUAUAACCAUCCUAAGGUAGCGAAAUUCCUUGUCGGGUAAGUUCCGACCUGCACGAAUGGCGUAACGACUUCUCGACUGUCUCAACCAUAGGCCCGGUGAAAUUGCAUUACGAGUAAAGAUGCUCGUUUCGCGCAGCAGGACGGAAAGACCCCGGGACCUUUACUAUAGCUUGAUAUUGGUGUUCGGUUCGGCUUGUGUAGGAUAGGUGGGAGACUGUGAAGCGGCAACGCCAGUUGUUGUGGAGUCGACGUUGAAAUACCACUCUGGUCGUGCUGGAUGUCUAACCUGGGUCCGUGAUCCGGAUCAGGGACAGUGUCUGGUGGGUAGUUUAACUGGGGCGGUUGCCUCCUAAAGAGUAACGGAGGCGCCCAAAGGUUCCCUCAGCCUGGUUGGCAAUCAGGUGUUGAGUGUAAGUGCACAAGGGAGCUUGACUGUGAGACUGACGGGUCGAGCAGGUACGAAAGUAGGGACUAGUGAUCCGGCGGUGGCUUGUGGAAGCGCCGUCGCUCAACGGAUAAAAGGUACCCCGGGGAUAACAGGCUGAUCUUCCCCAAGAGUCCAUAUCGACGGGAUGGUUUGGCACCUCGAUGUCGGCUCGUCGCAUCCUGGGGCUGGAGUAGGUCCCAAGGGUUGGGCUGUUCGCCCAUUAAAGCGGUACGCGAGCUGGGUUUAGAACGUCGUGAGACAGUUCGGUCCCUAUCCGCUGUGCGCGUAGGAGUGUUGAGAAGGGCUGUCCCUAGUACGAGAGGACCGGGACGGACGAACCUCUGGUGUGCCAGUUGUUCUGCCAAGGGCAUGGCUGGUUGGCUACGUUCGGGAGGGAUAACCGCUGAAAGCAUCUAAGCGGGAAGCCUGCUUCGAGAUGAGCACUCCCACCUCCUUGAGAGGGUAAGGCUCCCAGUAGACGACUGGGUUGAUAGGCCGGAUAUGGAAGCCCUGUGAGGGGUGGAGUUGACCGGUACUAAUAGGCCGAGGGCUUGUCCUC
rfam:Saccharothrix sp. ST-888 contig-269, whole genome shotgun sequence.